rnacentral:ribozyme from 1 species
UGCCCAGCAACUCCUAUCCCUACCUCCUCUUGGUACUGGCCGGGGUACGAGCAAUCUUGGGGAAGAUCGGGUAACCAACCGGAAAUCUAGGGGGUUGG